UAGUUGCAUGUGUAUGUAUAUACAUGGUGAUUGUCUAAAUACGAAGUCAUUCCCACCUCAGUCGCAAUGGCAUCUCUAAAACUGUCCCUGGUGCUUGUCCUGUACGUGACGCUGACGCAUGAAUGUCAACCUCCUGACUGCGACAGAGUUGACUGCGGCUCUUGUGGAAAUGCGUGCUGUGGCCUAGAGGUGUACUGGCCUGCAGACACAUUGUCAAUCUACAAUACAAUGGUUACCGGUUUAAAGCGAGGU